rnacentral:rRNA from 1 species
GCCGAAUCACGCUAAAACACCGGUUCCCGUACAAUCACCGAAGUUAAGCAACGUCGGGCCUGGUCAGUACCUAGAAGGGUGACCGUUUGGGAAUACCAGGUGCUGUAA